rnacentral:rRNA from 1 species
CCAAUAGCGUAUAUUAAAGUUGUUGCAGUUAAAAAGCUCGUAGUUGAAUUUCGGGAUUGGCGCAUCGGUCGUGCCUCACGGGGUAUGAACUGGUGCAGUCAAUUUCUCACCUUCUGGAGAACCGCGAUGUCCUUAAUUGGAUGCCGCGGGGAACCAGGACCUUUACUUUGAAAAAAUUAGAGUGGUUAAAGCAGGCAUUUUUGCUUGAAUACAUUAGCAUGGAAUAAUAAAAUAGGACGGCAUGGUUCUAUUUUGUUGGUUUCUAGGACCACCGUAAUGAUUAAUAGGGAUAGUUGGGGGCAUUAGUAUUCAAUUGUCAGAGGUGAAAUUCUUGGAUUUAUUGAAGACUAACUACUGCGAAAGCAUUUGCCAAGGAUGUUUUCAUUAAUCAAGAACGAAAGUUAGGGGAUCGAAGACGAUCAGAUACCGUCGUAGUCUUAACCAUAAACUAUGCCGACUAGGAAUCAGACGAUGUUAAUUUUUUAAUGACUCGUUUGGCACCUUAC